GGAAAGUUGCAAAGAACUUGAAGAGAGAGUUAAAAGGACGUGAAACCGCUUGGAAGGAAACGGGUGGAGCUGCUAUGCAGUCCCCAAAAUUCAGUCUUCCUUCGACCGACCUUUUGGAACCGAUCGUAAGACGGGACCCUUUGGCUCGGUUCGUUUGGUUGAUGCAUUUUUUGGGGAUGAGCGUCACGACCGAUUGACCUUCCGACAGAAAGGUGGUAGGAAUGCCGACUUACGCUUAGGCGUUUGUGACCCUUCCGCUACUCUGUUCGGGUAAGGACGAUCGAGUAUAGACCGUGUCGGCUGUCGCUUAGAUUUUGUCUAAACUAUCGGACUUACUUGCAAGUCGAGCUUGCUCGGCGGGCAGACCCCCGGUGGGAAGUGACUUAAUCUUUGCGUUAGACGCAAAUGGUCUGUGACGUCUGAGUCAGUCACCCACCCGACCCGUCUUGAAACACGGACCAAGAAGUCUAACAUGUGCGCAAGUCAUUGGGUUUUAAACCCAAAGGCGAAAUGAAAGUGAAACAUGGUGGGAUUCCUAGUCUUCGGACUGGGACGCACCACUGUCCCGUCUGAUCUGCAUGUCAGAUAGGCGGAGAAAGAGCGUACACGUUGGGACCCGAAAGAUGGUGAACUAUGCCUGAGCAGGAUGAAGCCAGAGGAAACUCUGGUGGAAGUCCGUAGCGGUUCUGACGUGCAAAUCGAUCGUCAGACUUGGGUAUAGGGGCGAAAGACUAAUCGAACCAUCUAGUAGCUGU
rnacentral:rRNA from 1 species